AUAUAUAUAUAUACACACAUACACUAUAUUGCCAAAAGUAUUCGCUCACCUGCCUUGACUCGCAUAUGAACUUAAAUGACAUCCCAUUCUUAAUCCAUAGGGUUUAAUAUGACGUCGGUCCACCCUUUGCAGCUGUAACAGCUUCAACUCUUCUGGGAAGGCUGUCCACAAGGUUGAGGAGUGUGUUUAUGAG